UACGGAGGAUCCGAGCGUUAUCCGGAUUUAUUGGGUUUAAAGGGUGCGUAGGCGGCUUAUUAAGUCAGGGGUGAAAUACGGCAGCUCAACUGUCGCAGUGCCUUUGAUACUGAUAAGCUUGAAUGUGGUUGAAGAUGGCGGAAUGAGACAAGUAGCGGUGAAAUGCAUAGAUAUGUCUCAGAACUCCGAUUGCGAAGGCAGCUAUCUAAGCCAUUAUUGACGCUGAUGCACGAAAGCGUGGGGAUCAAACAGG
rnacentral:rRNA from 2 species